UUCCUGCAAUUGCCAUUGGUCGACUGAGUGGUCACGAGGUCAAUAUAUAAGGAUCGACUAGGAGCAGUUCUGAUCUUUUCGUCGCCAUUUUAAGUGGUUGUAGGUUUUCAAUAUUUUAUAUUUGUAACGAUAAACAGUACAGUCAUCGUUUGUUUUUCGGGAAGAGCUAUCCUUUAGAGAAUAUAAUGACUAUGACGGCGGCCACAAGCAAUUACAGUAUGGAUGAAUUCCCGGAAGGAGCAAAAAUAAAUGCCAGUAAAAAUCAGCAGGACGACGGGAAAAUGUUUAUUGGAGGUCUGAGCUGGGAUACGAGCAAAAACGACUUGUCCGAGUACCUGUCUAAGUUUGGUGAGGUGGUGGAUUGUACUAUUAAGACAGACCCGGUUACUGGACGAUCACGGGGCUUUGGUUUUGUUCUGUUUAAAGAUUCCGCAAGUGUUGAUCGGGUGCUGGAGCUAAGGGAGCACAAACUCGAUGGAAAACUUAUCGAUCCCAAACGAGCCAAAGCAUUGAAAGCUAAAGAGCCUCCGAAGAAAGUUUUUGUUGGGGGCUUGAGUCCCGAUACGUCAGAGGAACAGAUUAAAGAGUACUUCGGAGCUUUUGGCGAGAUUGAGAAUAUAGAACUCCCAAUGGAUACCAAAACAAAUGAAAGGAGAGGAUUCUGUUUCAUUACCUAUACUGAUGAGGCACCAGUGCAGAAGUUAUUAGAAAAUCGGUAUCACCAAAUCGGCUCAGGAAAGUGUGAAAUUAAAGUUGCACAACCCAAGGAAGUGUAUAGACAACAGCAGCAGCAACAAAGAGGGGGACGAGGAGGUACAACUGGAUUUGGAAGUGGGCGAGGUGGCUCACGGGGGCGUGGCAGAGGGCAGAGCCAGACCCAGACUCCAACUCAGACUCCGACCCAGACUCCAACCCAGGCCCAGACAUGGGGACAGAGUUACACAAAUUAUUAUGACCCAAGUUAUGGAACCUACAAUGGAUACACUGCUAGUCAGGGGUACACUGGAUAUACAGGCUAUGAUUACUCUGGAUACAACUAUGGCACGUAUGGAUAUGGACAAACCUAUGGAGAUUAUAAUAGUCAGCAGAGUGCGUAUGGGAAGGCAGCUAGAGGUGGUGCCAACCAUCAAAAUAAUUAUCAGCCAUAUUAAAGCAAUAAUUGUGUAGCUCCUACAACAAGCGGGAACUUCAUUGCAGGCCGUGUGUCACCCUGACCUCAUCUCUCUCUGGGGGUCGCACAUUGCGAGCAGAAUGCAAGGCAUACACCAGAAACCGCUGUCCCUGUGGUGGACAAGCUGAGUGGUGUUCUAAUCUGCUGACUUGUGGCCACAAAGUGAAGGACUUCACAACUUACUUUUGGAAUGAUUAUUUUUAUUUUUUUAAUGUCUUGCGUGAAUCUGAUGCACGCUGUCUUGGUUGUACAUAGCAAAUUAGUUUGCCAUUUUAAUCUUAAGUUGUUUUUUUUACCUUCAAUGUCUUUGUGGGUGGUGCCACACAGUGGAGUACCCUAUUCUGUAUUGCCAGUGUAUUUAGUGUUUUGGAAAUAAACAUGUGCAGGACUUGUUCUGUUAAAUCUAA